rnacentral:rRNA from 1 species
AUUGAACGCUGGCGGCAUGCUUUACACAUGCAAGUCGAACGGUAACAGGCCUUCGGGUGCUGACGAGUGGCGAACGGGUGAGUAAUGCAUCGGAACGUGCCCAAUCGUGGGGGAUAACGUAGCGAAAGUUACGCUAAUACCGCAUAAGCCCUGAGGGGGAAAGUGGGGGACCGCAAGGCCUCACGCGAAUGGAGCGGCCGAUGUCAGAUUAGCUAGUUGGUGGGGUAAAGGCCCACCAAGGCGACGAUCUGUAGCGGGUCUGAGAGGAUGAUCCGCCACACUGGGACUGAGACACGGCCCAGACUCCUACGGGAGGCAGCAGUGGGGAAUUUUGGACAAUGGGCGCAAGCCUGAUCCAGCCAUGCCGCGUGAGUGAAGAAGGCCUCGGUUGUAAG